rnacentral:rRNA from 1 species
GUGGGGAAUAUUGGGCAAUGGGCGAAAGCCUGACCCAGCAACGCCGCGUGAGGGAAGAAGGUUUUCGGAUUGUAAACCUCUGUCCUUGGUGACGAAGGAAGUGACGGUAGCCAAGGAGGAAGCCCCGGCUAACUACGUGCCAGCAGCCGCGGUAAUACGUAGGGGGCGAGCGUUGUCCGGAAUGACUGGGCGUAAAGGGCGUGUAGGCGGCCUAUUAAGUCUGGAGUGAAAGUCCUGCUUUCAAGGUGGGAAUUGCUUUGGAGACUGGUUGGCUGGAGUGCGGAAGAGGUAAGUGGAAUUCCCAGUGUAGCGGUGAAAUGCGUAGAGAUUGGGAGGAACACCAGUGGCGAAGGCGACUUACUGGGCCGUAACUGACGCUGAGGCGCGAAAGCGUGGGGAGCGAACAGGAUUAGAUACCCGGGUAGUCC